rnacentral:rRNA from 1 species
CACGUAGGGCGCGAGCGUUGUCCGGAAUUAUUGGGCGUAAAGAGCUCGUAGGCGGCCUGUUGCGUCCGCUGUGAAAGCCCGGGGCUUAACCCCGGGUCGGCAGUGGAUACGGGCAGGCUAGAGGUAGGUAGGGGAGAAUGGAAUUCCCGGUGUAGCGGUGAAAUGCGCAGAUAUCGGGAGGAACACCGGUGGCGAAGGCGGUUCUCUGGGCCUUACCUGACGCCGAGGAGCGAAAGCGUGGGGAGCGAACAGG